rnacentral:rRNA from 1 species
CGGGGUGAGUAACGCGUGGGCAACCUGCCUUACACAGGGGGAUAACAAUUAGAAAUGAUUGCUAAUACCGCAUAAGACCACAGCAUUGCAUGAUGCAGUGGUAAAAACUGAGGUGGUGUAAGAUGGGCCCGCGUCUGAUUAGGUAGUUGGUGGGGUAGAAGCCUACCAAGCCGACGAUCAGUAGCCGACCUGAGAGGGCGACCGGCCACAUUGGGACUGAGACACGGCCCAAACUCCUACGGGAGGCAGCAG